GUCGCGGCAAGAAAUUACGUGUCCGAUACCGAGUACAACUGUAUCCAAGACCGAGACACUCAAUAUGUGGUCUCGAGUACUACAACACUGGUUAAGCGCACGAAUGCUUGCACAAUUGCAACAUUAUAACGUAUGUCAUGAGCCAGUCAGUGGAUACUGUUACAAAACAUGAAUACGUCAUUCACGUUCACUAGGAAUUUGGCGCGUAAAUUAACUACGUUAAAAAUCUUUAUUUUUGGGACACCUUAUGCCAUCCUUUGAUUGGCCAAGCAUACCAUCAGUCACCAUUUAACCGCACCUAUCCCCACCCCCAUCCAACCACUGGGUUUAAUGUGCUAUAUGUUUACUACAGUAUUAGUAAUAAGAGAACGUCACUCUACAAACUGUGAACUCAACCACAAAAUAUAGCUCUUUAGUUUCAUUGAAGAAGAGAACCUACAUUCCAACAUGCCCAAGAGAAAGGGAGCUGAUGGCGAUGUCAAGGAGGAGCCUUCAAGGAGAUCUGCACGGUUGUCAUCGAAACCAGUACCUUCAAAACCAUCACCAAAUCCAAAAAAGCCAGCUAAGAAAGAAAAAGAAGUAAAUAACAAGAAGAAGGCGAAGGCAGCAGCGGUCGGGGAGCCUAAAGAGGAGACCCAGACUGAAAAUGGCGAGAUCAAGACAGAUGAAGUAUGUCAUGCCAUAUCAGUGAUACACGGUCUCAUUUCUUUUACCAAGGUUGAAGGUUGAUGUUUUUAGUUAGUCGUUGUAUCUUACUAUUUCUGUAGGCAAAUCCAUCUAAAAGCAUUAAUCAUUCAGGAUUCUCAGUGUGUCACAGUGAAUGGCUCUUUUGUCACCUUACAGGUAGAGACUCCAGAUGAGAAGACUGAGUAGCACUACUCCCGUCCAUCCAAUCCCCUCCCUUGUAUGGCCCCCAAGUCUCAUAUGUUAUCCCUAAAACAUCCAUUACCUUAACAGAGGAAUAUUUUUAUCAACAAUUUUGUAAUUGGUACAGGGUUUUAGCUCAAAACACAGCUAAAUAUGGAGGAUUGUUCUGUUGUGCAGUGGUCAUAAAGUGUUUUUAAGCAAACAUAAUUACGGUUUUGUUUAUUUAUUAGUUUUGGUACCUUGUUGGGACUUUAAAAAAUAAUGCUGGAUGGCAGACUAAUUGCAGGUGGUGUAGUGUCACAUUGUAGGUUCGCCAACUCAGAACAUUUCACUUUUGUAGGUGGUUGUAUUUUUAUUCUUUAUGUACAGUGGUUUUUCUUUGGGAGGUGUUUACUUAUUUUCAAUUUGAUUGUCUGUAAGCAAUUUUGGAAACAUUUGAAACAUUCCAGGCUUAAAGGACAAUUUCACAAUUUUUCAACUUCAUAUUCAUAAUCUCGAGGACCACCGCAACAACAUGUGAAAAUUGCUAGUUUGUUUUGUUGUUAAAAAAUAGGAAUAUUUUCAAUGACCCCAUCAGUGUGCAUGGUGUGAUUUUAACAAAUGAGUUACCAUCAUUAGCUACUAAUUGGACACUUCCUCAGUUUUUUUAUCACAAAACAUAGAAACCUCACAUUUUCACAUAUGUUGAUGUUGUGCUGGAGAUUAAGCAGAACAUUUUUUAAAUUUCACUAAUGUGGGCAUACCUGCUUUUUAAAUAAUCUUGCUCUGAAUUAUUUUGACACAAAUGAUUUAAACAGAGGAAGAGGCUUGUUGGAAGUUGAUUAUACUUUUUGAAACAAAUGUUGGGAUUUUAACACUGAAAAUUAAUCUAUUGAAAUAUGCAGCUGUGUUCCCACUGAAGUUCUGGAUAUUUAAUUGGAAUUUAAUAAAAUAGUAAUUUCUCAUGAGGUUGCGCAAGGUCUCAUGACUUUACGUGUCAUUAUUACUGUAUCAUUACCAUAUCUAAACUCAAUAGUAGACCAUCUAGCCAACCAGUUGUUCUGAUUGUUAUUGUGGUAUGUAUAUUAUUGUAAUACUGAUAUAUAGUUAACAUUCUUAUAACAGAUUCUGGUCAAAGGUAGCAUUUUACAACCUGCUGGAUUUGGCGACAUGUCGCAGUCACUAUUUGCUGACCAAAAUAAAAAAUGAGACUGAAAGGACCCUAGGUAUCGUGCCAGCACAAAUAACCACAAAGACAUGAUCUGUCUUGCAAAAGCAUGACACUUUUCAGUUCUAUACAUUAUGAUUGUUUGACAUGCAAAUUUGUAAUCAUGCUCCAACUAGUAGCUUUAUGGUAAGUUUUGUGCUUGUCUGAAAAGAACCCUGUACUGCUGCUUGGAAGUUGCAACUAUUUUAAUAUUUUGAGGUAUAUGCUAAACCAGUUCAGCUUGUGCCAUGUAGUGAAGGCAAGAAAAUAGAACUUACUCAUCACAAGAAAAGUAUAAUAGCCUUACUUGUUUGUUUAUUUGAAAUUAUACUGAACAAAAAUACAGUGCAUUCGGAAAGUA
ensembl:lncRNA